rnacentral:lncRNA from 1 species
GAAAGAAGAGAUAACAUACAAAAUUCCCCAUGUUUCUGAACAGAGGCACAAGUGCAGGGAAGCUGCACACAGCAGGAUGCUCAGAGAAGACCAGUGUGGUGCGGGGCCAGUUAACGGCAACGCUGUGGACACUAUAGGUGGAAGGAACCAGAUGGGGCUGGACCUGAACCUGAGUCGUGGAGCUAGUUAAUGACGGAG